CACACCAUGGGAGUGGGUUGCAAAAGAAGUAGGUAGCUUAACCUUCGGGAGGGCGCUUACCACUUUGUGAUUCAUGACUGGGGUGAAGUCGUAACAAGGUAACCGUAGGGGAACCUGCGGUUGGAUCACCUCCUUA
rnacentral:rRNA from 1 species